GUAUCUCGGGAUAGGGAGCGAUCUCCGAGCGAGGCAGCAAGAUGGCCGCGGGAUUCUUCCGCGGAACGAGUGCAGAACAGGAUAAUCGGUUCGGCAACAAACAGGAGAAGUUACUGAAGCAGCUGAGAUUUGGAGAAUGCCUAGAAAAAAAAGGUGGAUAUGAGCAAAGUAAAUUUGGAGGUUAUAAAGCCUUGGAUAACAAAACGAGUAACGGAAAUCCUUGGGUUUGAAGAUGAUGUUGUGAUUGAGUUUAUAUUCAACCAGCUGGAAGUGAAGGAUCCAGACUCCAAAAUGAUGCAGAUCAACCUGACUGGGUUUUUGAAUGGAAAAAAUGCUAGAGAAUUUAUGGGAGAACUGUGGCCCCUGCUCUUAAGGGCACAAGAAAACAUCGCUGGAAUCCCUUCUGCUUUUCUAGAACUGAGGAAAGAAGAAAUAAAACAAAGACAAACUGAACAAGAAAAGUUGGCAUCAAUGAAAAAGCAAGAUGAAGACAAGGGUAAGAGGGAUAAGGAAGAAAAAGAAAGCAGCAGAGAAAAAAGGGAGAGCGUGUGUAGAGAAAGAGUGU